UACAGAGGGUGCGAGCGUUAAUCGGAAUUACUGGGCGUAAAGCGUGCGUAGACGGCUAUCUAAGUCGGGUGUGAAAGCCCCGGGCUCAACCUGGGAAUUGCAUUCGAGACUGAAUAGCUAGGGUACGGUAGAGGGAAGUGGAAUUUCCAGUGUAGCGGUGAAAUGCGUAGAUAUCGGAAGGAACAUCAGUGGCGAAAGCGACUUCCUGGACCAGUACCGACGUUCAGGCACGAAAGCGUGGGGAGCAAACAGG
rnacentral:rRNA from 1 species